rnacentral:rRNA from 1 species
CCCUUAGAUGUUCUGGGCCGCACGCGCGCUACACUGUUCGACGCAGCGAGUCUUAACCUUGACCGAAAGGUUUGGGUAAUCUUCAGCAAAGUCGAACGUGAUGGGGAUCGAUCAUUGCAAUUAUUGAUCGUGAACGAGGAAUUCCUAGUAAGUGCAAGUCAUCAGCUUGCGCUGAUUACGUCCCUGCCCUUUGUACACACCGCCCGUCGCUACUACCGAUUGAAUGGUUUAGUGAGAUCUCUGGAUUGACGCUGGCUAGGGGGCGACCCUUGGCCAGGCUGUCGAGAAUCUGCUCAAACUUGAUCAUUUAGAGGAAGUAAAAGUCGUAACA